rnacentral:rRNA from 1 species
UGGGGAAUAUUGCACAAUGGAGGGAACUCUGAUGCAGCGACGCCGCGUGAACGAAGAAGGCUUUCGAGUCGUAAAGUUCUUUUAUAUGGGAAGAUAAUGACGGUACCAUAAGAAAAAGCCCCGGCUAACUACGUGCCAGCAGCCGCGGUAAUACGUAGGGGGCUAGCGUUGUCCGGAAUCACUGGGCGUAAAGGGUUCGCAGGCGGAAAUGCAAGUCAGGUGUAAAAGGCAGUAGCUUAACUACUGUAAGCAUUUGAAACUGCAUAUCUUGAGAAGAGUAGAGGGAAGUGGAAUUUUUAGUGUAGCGGGGAAAUGCGUAGAUAUUAAAAAGAAUACCGGUGGCGAAGGCGACUUACUGGGCUCAUUCUGACGCUGAGGAACGAAAGAGUGGGUAGCAAACAGG